GCUUCAGUUUCUUCUGAAAGGUGGGCAGUACUUAGCACUUAGGUUUAAAGGAUUCAGCUGGUUAAUGUGAAACAUUCAGCUCCAGUAUUAUGUCUCAAAGUCACUGUGUCAGUGAACCGGCAUCCCUCAUCGUGGAAAGACUGUCUUAAACGAGUGCUUUAUUCUGUCCGUACGUCUUCCACUUGUGAAUUACAACUGCAAAAAUGUAUCUUUCUAUAGUAAGGUUGAAGUGAAGUGAAGCUAUUUCCCCGCUUCGGAUUCUUUGGUCUUUCCGGAGCUGCCAGGGGUCUGUGACCCCAUUUGGUAAGGACUCAGUGCCGCACACUGCCUCUCCAUCUCUGGUCCCCGCUGCGGUCACAGCGAAUGGUAGGUUUUCAGUGUGUGUUAGAACCCUUUCAGUCUCGAGCCGUUUCCCUGUGGCUGCAUUUUCAGAUGAAUGUUGCCAGUUCCCCACCUUCUGUCUCCAUCUCACACUGGUGUCUGCCCCACCUCAGUCCUCUGUGGGUGUUGGGACAUGGAGCUGGGUGGUUCUGAGUGCUGAGCGGAGAGUAAGGUCAUCAGAUGACUUUGCUGUUCAUGGCCCUGGGUUCUGGUGCUCUCAUCCGAAGCCCUCCCUGCCCAUCCCUUGGGCCGUGGAGCGUUUCUUCUGUUCCUGUACCCUAUUAAUAGCUCUCCUAACACAGUGGCUCACCUGUCUCUCCCAUGCCAGGCCACAGUGCCUUUCAAGGCAAGAUCUGUCUCUUCAUCCAUGCAGCCUCAGGUCCUGGCAGUAAUGGGCACUCACAUGCCUUUUGGAUGAGCUGUUCUUUGGAAAUAGUGUCCUUAGCUCCUGGCAUGUAAUAGGCAUUCGGCGAAUACUUGCUGAAUAAAUGAGUGGAAAAAUCUCAGAUCUUCAGACAGCUUCAGAGAGUGUUUAAAAUCCUUCUGCUUAUCGGAUCCAAAGGACCUUCUCUCUGCUGCACCUUCCACCGGGGCUCUGGGGUGGCCAAUCAGGAUCUCUCACCUGAGGCCACCUCAUCCCCCUGAGAGCCCGGGUGGAAUCAAAAGUGCCUCCUACUCGGUCCCUGGGGCAGGAGGGCCAGCAGGCCAGAGCGGGUCACACCCUGCUGUAGAGAAGCAAGGCCUCUCCAAUUCCAGAGCCCUUGGCUGGCCACCCAGCCACAGAGGCCAGGCAGGCUGGAGCCUCUGAAGAUGAGGGGUGGGGAUGUUGGCUUCUGUCUCUGAAAUUCGUCUGCUCGUGCUUGUGAUGCCGAAAUGAGCAGUUAGCUCUGUGAUUCCUGAGCCUGGGCCGACCUCCAUGUCCUCGGUGCUGUUGGAAAGGACCAGGGAGGGGCAGUGUCAGGGCCACCGCGUGCCUAGUGUGCCCUUCAGACCGAUUUGACAUGAAGAGGAAUCUUCCUGGCUGCUGGGUGAGAAGUGCCUGCACUGGCCUGCCCCCUCUUUGAAGGGACAGAUGUCGGGGAGAAAGCUGAUUAUUGUCAAAGGCUGGAGGCUGUGACCGGAGAUCUCGGUGAGCGUGACCCAAUUCUGAGCUAUUCUCAGCCUGGUGGGAGCAAGUUAUUCCCUCCCACCAACGCCACUGCUUUGGAGGCGGCCUGACUUUGAAACGCCCUCGUCCUGGCUACCGGGCUGGGCCACACAGGCUCCCCUGGGCACAGAGGCUCCGCGUGGGGAGGGCCCAUGGGCUGGCAAGGCCACUGCUGGGGCAGGGCAGCAGGCUGGUCCCACUGUGCCCCUCCUUGUUCACUGAUGACCCACCGGGGGCAGGGCCCAACCCGCUGGCUCCGGGGUGCACACACCUGGCACCCAGCCUGUCUGCUGCCAACCCGCUGGCCACCUCGGGAAGCGACUUCUCUCGAGGCUAAGUUCCAGUGUCCAGGAGUGGGCAGUGCGCAGAGCUCCUGAGACAGAAAGGCCCGUCCACUCCCCCACUCCACACCGACCCACACCUGCCACACAGGGUCCAGGCCACCACCGCUCCCGCAGCCACAGCUCACUCUGCACUGUGUGCCCAGAUCUGGGUCUGGCUCCUGGGAGCCCCGAAGGGCAGGCCUGGGCGUCCUGAAUGGGCAGGGGCUGGCACGUGGGAGGCACUCAACCCAUGCAUACUGAUGACAGCGCCCACCCUCUGUGGCUGGUGAGGACAGGGCGCGAGGCCCGGCAGUUGCUCACUCCCUCCUGAGGGCAUCAGGAGCCAGGCCCCUCUCUGGGGACCCUCUCGCUCAAGGCCCCUCCAGGCUGGCGUGCGAGCCCAACAGCCCCGGGGCUGUGGGGGCACUGAGUCCAGUGCCCACCCUGCUUAGAGCAGCUUUGGAAAUGGCACUUGCCAGCCCAGAGGCUGGAAGUGCACCCUCUCCACCCACUGCUUCUGGGGCACCUCCCACCCCCCUGCAUGACUUGCCCACCCUUCUCCAAUGUCCACCUGCACAGGUGUCUCCUUUUCUGAGGAACCUUCCAGGACUCUGCCUGAAAACUCUCUGCCCUCUAGGGUCAUGCACUGGGGAACCACUUAUGGCCAGGAUUCCGGAGUUGCAGAGAAGAGGGAGUGGAGGGGACAGCCCCAGACCUAGGCUGCAGGGGUGAGGGCCUCUUGGGCCCUCAGGGGCAACCCUGCCUCAUCACAUGCUACUAGACAGGGUGUGCCCCCACCGGCCUGCUGCCCUCCACCCACCCAGAAACCCUGCCCUGGUCCCCACCCGUGAAGCCCAGGUUGGGCCCAGGCCUCUGGGGCUCUUGGGUGAGGGGCUGGGCCCUGAGGCAGGCAUGGGUGGGGCAGAGUGAGGCCCAGGAGCAGCUGACACCCCGGGGCUUCCUGAGGGAGGGGUACUCUAAUCUCGGCUCUAGGGCAGUUCCCAGGACUAGGACCCUCCAAGCAGCUGAGUCAGAGCCAGGGUCUGGGACCUUCCAGGGCUUGGGCAGCUGGGAGUCAUGUGCCACUGUCUCAGUGCAGGACAGCAGGGUGAGCGGGGAGGAAUUGCCAGGGAAAAUCUGAGGGCCACAGGCGAGUACACACUGGGCCAGGCAGGGAGUUUCUGGUGAAUCCGUGCCCCAUGAUGAGCCCGUGCUGCUGACUCGCGCUGACCAUCCGGGCCUGCUCAUCGGUCACUCACGGCCAUGGGCCCAGCUCUACCUCUGAAAGUCAGGCUCCCCAUCACAGAACUGGGGCGCUGCUUGCCUUCUGCUCCUCUGCUAUGGGGACUCCUUCGGGACAUGGUGUGCAGGACUCUCCCGCCUGGGCAUUAGAUGUCUGGGGAAGCAUGCUGAGAAAAGGACAUUUGAAGGGGUCUUGAAGGACAUACAGGAGUUUAAUGCUGGCUCCAGGCCACGUGAGGAUCCAAGCUGAGGGAGUGGGGUGAGGCCCAGCUGGGUCUAGAGGGCCAUACGGAGGGGCAGGGCAGGCUUGGGGGAACUGAGAUCUCAGGGG
rnacentral:lncRNA from 1 species